rnacentral:tRNA from 4 species
UUCUAAUAUGGCAGAUUA